rnacentral:rRNA from 1 species
UACGGGGGGGGGCAAGCGUUGUUCGGAAUUACUGGGCGUAAAGGGCUCGUAGGUGGCCAACUAAGUCAGACGUGAAAUCCCUCGGCUUAACCGGGGAACUGCGUCUGAUACUGGAUGGCUUGAGUUCGGGAGAGGGAUGCGGAAUUCCAGGUGUAGCGGUGAAAUGCGUAGAUAUCUGGAGGAACACCGGUGGCGAAGGCGGCAUCCUGGACCGGGAUUGACACUGAGGCGCGAAAGCCAGGGGAGCAAACGGG